UACGUAGGGUGCGAGCGUUGUCCGGAAUUAUUGGGCGUAAAGAGCUUGUAGGCGGUUUGUCGCGUCUGCUGUGAAAAUCCGGGACUCAACCCCCAGCCUGCAGUGGGUACGGGCAGACUAGAGUGCGGUAGGGGAGAUUGGAAUUCCUGGUGUAGCGGUGGAAUGCGCAGAUAUCAGGAGGAACACCGAUGGCGAAGGCAGAUCUCUGGGCCGUAACUGACGCUGAGGAGCGAAAGCAUGGGGAGCGAACAGG
rnacentral:rRNA from 1 species